rnacentral:rRNA from 1 species
GAUGAACGCUGGCGGCGUGCCUAAUACAUACAAGUCGAGCGAACGGACGAGAAGCUUGCUUCUCUGAUGUUAGCGGCGGACGAGUGAGUAACACGUGGAUAACCUACCUAUAAGACUGGGAUAACUUCGGGAAACCGGAGCUAAUACCGGAUGAUAUUUUGAACCGCAUGGUUCAAAAGUGAAAGACGGUCUUGCUGUCACUUAUAGAUGGAUCCGCGCUGCAUUAGCUAGUUGGUAAGGUAACGGCUUACCAAGGCAACGAUGCAUAGCCGACCUGAGAGGGUGAUCGGCCACACUGGAACUGAGACACGGUCCAGACUCCUACGGGAGGCAGCAGUAGGGAAUCUUCCGCAAUGGGCGAAAGCCUGACGGAGCAACGCCGCGUGAGUGAUGAAGGUCUUCGGAUCGUAAAACUCUGUUAUUAGGGAAGAACAUAUGUGUAAGUAACUGUGCACAUCUUGACGGUACCUAAUCAGAAAGCCACGGCUAACUACGUG